rnacentral:piRNA from 1 species
GAUGUCCUCUUCUGACCUCCAGACCAGU